rnacentral:rRNA from 1 species
GGCCGCGGGAAUUCGAUUCAGGCCUAACACAUGCAAGUCGAGCGGGGUUUUCGGACCUAGCGGCGGACGGGUGAGUAAUGCGUAGGAAGCUGCCCGAUAGAGGGGGAUACCAGUUGGAAACGACUGUUAAUACCGCAUAAUGUCUACGGACCAAAGUGUGGGACCUUCGGGCCACAUGCUAUCGGAUGCGCCUACGUGGGAUUAGCUAGUUGGUGAGGUAAUGGCUCACCAGGGCGACGAUCUCUAGCUGGUUUGAGAGGAUGAUCAGCCACACUGGAACUGAGACACGGUCCAGACUCCUACGGGAGGCAGCAGUGGGGAAUAUUGGACAAUGGGCGCAAGCCUGAUCCAGCCAUGCCGCGUGUGUGAAGAAGGCCUUCGGGUUGUAAAGCACUUUCAGCGAGGAGGAAGGGUGGUGUGUUAAUAGCACAUCAUCUUGACGUACUCGCAGA